AGCCCCGUAGUGUAGCGGCCAAACAAGACUUGCGUCUUGAAGACCAAGAUGCAAUCUGUGGUCAAUCAUCCGGGAUUUUGGGUCCUGGGACCUCGGUUCGAAUCCGGGCGGGGCUA
rnacentral:tRNA from 1 species